GGUUAAGCGACUAAGCGUACACGGUGGAUGCCCUGGCAGUCAGAGGCGAUGAAGGACGUGCUAAUCUGCGAUAAGCGUCGGUGAGGUGAUAUGAACCGUUAUAACCGGCGAUUUCCGAAUGGGGAAACCCAGUGUGUUUCGACACACUAUCAUUAACUGAAUCCAUAGGUUAAUGAGGCGAACCGGGGGAACUGAAACAUCUAAGUACCCCGAGGAAAAGAAAUCAACCGAGAUUCCCCCAGUAGCGGCGAGCGAACGGGGAGGAGCCCAGAGCCUGAAUCAGUGUGUGUGUUAGUGGAAGCGUCUGGAAAGGCGCGCGAUACAGGGUGACAGCCCCGUACACAAAAAUGCACAUACUGUGAGCUCGAUGAGUAGGGCGGGACACGUGGUAUCCUGUCUGAAUAUGGGGGGGACCAUCCUCCAAGGCUAAAUACUCCUGACUGACCGAUAGUGAACCAGUACCGUGAGGGAAAGGCGAAAAGAACCCCGGCGAGGGGAGUGAAAAAGAACCUGAAACCGUGUACGUACAAGCAGUGGGAGCCUCUUAAUGGGGUGACUGCGUACCUUUUGUAUAAUGGGUCAGCGACUUAUAUUCUGUAGCAAGGUUAACCGAAUAGGGGAGCCGAAGGGAAACCGAGUCUUAACUGGGCGUUAAGUUGCAGGGUAUAGACCCGAAACCCGGUGAUCUAGCCAUGGGCAGGUUGAAGGUUGGGUAACACUAACUGGAGGACCGAACCGACUAAUGUUGAAAAAUUAGCGGAUGACUUGUGGCUGGGGGUGAAAGGCCAAUCAAACCGGGAGAUAGCUGGUUCUCCCCGAAAGCUAUUUAGGUAGCGCCUCGUGAAUUCAUCUCCGGGGGUAGAGCACUGUUUCGGCAAGGGGGUCAUCCCGACUUACCAACCCGAUGCAAACUGCGAAUACCGGAGAAUGUUAUCACGGGAGACACACGGCGGGUGCUAACGUCCGUCGUGAAGAGGGAAACAACCCAGACCGCCAGCUAAGGUCCCAAAGUCAUGGUUAAGUGGGAAACGAUGUGGGAAGGCCCAGACAGCCAGGAUGUUGGCUUAGAAGCAGCCAUCAUUUAAAGAAAGCGUAAUAGCUCACUGGUCGAGUCGGCCUGCGCGGAAGAUGUAACGGGGCUAAACCAUGCACCGAAGCUGCGGCAGCGACACUAUGUGUUGUUGGGUAGGGGAGCGUUCUGUAAGCCUGUGAAGGUGUACUGUGAGGUAUGCUGGAGGUAUCAGAAGUGCGAAUGCUGACAUAAGUAACGAUAAAGCGGGUGAAAAGCCCGCUCGCCGGAAGACCAAGGGUUCCUGUCCAACGUUAAUCGGGGCAGGGUGAGUCGACCCCUAAGGCGAGGCCGAAAGGCGUAGUCGAUGGGAAACAGGUUAAUAUUCCUGUACUUGGUGUUACUGCGAAGGGGGGACGGAGAAGGCUAUGUUGGCCGGGCGACGGUUGUCCCGGUUUAAGCGUGUAGGCUGGUUUUCCAGGCAAAUCCGGAAAAUCAAGGCUGAGGCGUGAUGACGAGGCACUACGGUGCUGAAGCGACAAAUGCCCUGCUUCCAGGAAAAGCCUCUAAGCAUCAGGUAACAUCAAAUCGUACCCCAAACCGACACAGGUGGUCAGGUAGAGAAUACCAAGGCGCUUGAGAGAACUCGGGUGAAGGAACUAGGCAAAAUGGUGCCGUAACUUCGGGAGAAGGCACGCUGAUAUGUAGGUGAAGCGACUUGCUCGUGGAGCUGAAAUCAGUCGAAGAUACCAGCUGGCUGCAACUGUUUAUUAAAAACACAGCACUGUGCAAACACGAAAGUGGACGUAUACGGUGUGACGCCUGCCCGGUGCCGGAAGGUUAAUUGAUGGGGUUAGCGGUAACGCGAAGCUCUUGAUCGAAGCCCCGGUAAACGGCGGCCGUAACUAUAACGGUCCUAAGGUAGCGAAAUUCCUUGUCGGGUAAGUUCCGACCUGCACGAAUGGCGUAAUGAUGGCCAGGCUGUCUCCACCCGAGACUCAGUGAAAUUGAACUCGCUGUGAAGAUGCAGUGUACCCGCGGCAAGACGGAAAGACCCCGUGAACCUUUACUAUAGCUUGACACUGAACAUUGAGCCUUGAUGUGUAGGAUAGGUGGGAGGCUUUGAAGUGUGGACGCCAGUCUGCAUGGAGCCGACCUUGAAAUACCACCCUUUAAUGUUUGAUGUUCUAACGUGGGCCCCUUACCGGGGUUGCGGACAGUGUCUGGUGGGUAGUUUGACUGGGGCGGUCUCCUCCUAAAGAGUAACGGAGGAGCACGAAGGUUGGCUAAUCCUGGUCGGACAUCAGGAGGUUAGUGCAAUGGCAUAAGCCAGCUUGACUGCGAGCGUGACGGCGCGAGCAGGUGCGAAAGCAGGUCAUAGUGAUCCGGUGGUUCUGAAUGGAAGGGCCAUCGCUCAACGGAUAAAAGGUACUCCGGGGAUAACAGGCUGAUACCGCCCAAGAGUUCAUAUCGACGGCGGUGUUUGGCACCUCGAUGUCGGCUCAUCACAUCCUGGGGCUGAAGUAGGUCCCAAGGGUAUGGCUGUUCGCCAUUUAAAGUGGUACGCGAGCUGGGUUUAGAACGUCGUGAGACAGUUCGGUCCCUAUCUGCCGUGGGCGCUGGAGAACUGAGGGGGGCUGCUCCUAGUACGAGAGGACCGGAGUGGACGCAUCACUGGUGUUCGGGUUGUCAUGCCAAUGGCACUGCCCGGUAGCUAAAUGCGGAAGAGAUAAGUGCUGAAAGCAUCUAAGCACGAAACUUGCCCCGAGAUGAGUUCUCCCUGACUCCUUGAGAGUCCUGAAGGAACGUUGAAGACGACGACGUUGAUAGGCCGGGUGUGUAAGCGCAGCGAUGCGUUGAGCUAACCGGUACUAAUGAACCGUGAGGCUUAACCUU
rnacentral:rRNA from 1 species